CUAACCGUGAGGUUAGGACUGAAGGAAGCAGGACUACAAAGCUCGGUACAGACGAACAGAAACCGUACAGAAGGCAUAAAUGCACGGGUAAGCAACCACAUCAUUGUAACGCCCAAAGAUUACCAAAAGUGCAUAUAUGUAGAUACGGCAGAGAUUGAGUGAAACCUGCCUGC
rfam:Cellulophaga algicola DSM 14237, complete genome.